UAUUCAUGGAUACGCAUUAAGAAAUGAGCAGUACCUACUAGAAUUAAUGAAUGGUUAAUGACAAUAUCACUAACACAAUUAUGAGUAAUUACAACCACUGCCACUUAUAUUAAUUUACCAAUAUAUUUAUUAUAAAUUAAAUUAAAUGAUUAAAAAUUAGAAUAAACAAAAGAUUUAAAUCCGUUUUUUAUUCCUAUUCUGUUUGCUUAUUUGUGCACUAUCUUUUUCUUAUGUUUAUGAAUUGACGAAGCUGUUCCAGAUAUCAGAAAAUAUAUGAUGAAAUUUAAUUAACACAAACAAUGUCAAAAGAAAAAAAAACACAAACCGGAAGAAUCGGACCAAAACUGUUAUCAGUAUUCUGUGAUCUAUAUUAUUACAAGAGAAUCAGUCUUAAAAAAUCUACUUAUAAAAGAUUGUUAGACCCUUUUACUAGACAAUUAAUAUUUUGGUCUUAUCUUAAAUUUAUAUUAACAAUAUAUUACUUUAACAGUGAUUUAAUUAAUUUAAUAGGUGAUAUAACUAGAUUUCCUAAAUUUUCUAAAAUUUACCUUAAAUAAAAUAUUUUAAAUUUUUUUGACAUGAAUCAAAGCCAUCUGUGAUACUUAUAUAUUUGCCGAUCAUAACUACAAUAUAACCUAAAAGAUAAUUAGCUAUAUAUUAAUUAAUAAUAAAUAAUACUCAUUUCUUUAAUGUAAACAAAACAUUGUGAGAUUCACGAGUGGACUAUCAUUAUUUAAACACAUGACAUAUAGACUAUGCAAUCAAAAAAUAUUUAUUUAUGGUUUUAACAAUUUAUGGUUCACGACUUCAAUUAGUUUUGACUGGUAAAGCUAAAAUUACACAUAUCAGACCUACUGAAUACACAAGUUUAACAAUAUUGAUUUUUAUAUUUGUAUAUAGUACAUGGAGUUUAUAUUAAAAUGAUUUACAGUUAUAUAUUUAUCAACCUUAGAGUAGUGUCCCUAAAUGUGUAUAUAUGUGGAAAGAUAAUCCUAAACUCUAAAUCCUGAAAAUAAUAAAUACAUAUACUGGUGUAUAAAAUAUAUGGUCAAUGAAAUUUUGUCUACCAUAAUAUAUUUACAAAAUGGUUCAACUAAUUUCUCUUAAUAAAAUGGUUCAAAAAAUAUAGGUUCGUUAAUACUUCACAUCCACGCAAGGUGCAAAACCGCUAUAACAAAAAUGUUUUCAUCUGUUCAACAGUAUAGAUAUUCUUAAUACUGAAAAAUGUGAAUCACUCAAAAAUGUGAAUAAAAUGUGAACUAUUAAUACUGAAAAAACUGAAUCACUCAAAUAUUCUUAUAAGAGAUAUCUAAAUUUAUCUGAAUUAUCCGAUAUUUCAUCCAAAAAUAAAAUAUGACUUUUACCUGAAUUAUUUAAGAUUAUCUUUAAAGCGAGAACCAAACCAGAACCGAAUUGAACUCAAGAUUUUAACAGUUUUUAAAAUUGGUACCUAAAACAAACUAAAAAACAAAACAACUAAACUGAAAUCAAACUCAAACUUAUAAAUAACUAAACAGUUCCUAUAUUUCUUGAAUAAAAAAAUCAAAAAUCAAAAAAUUGAAUCGAAACCGAACUAAAACCCUAAAAAGAACUGAAUCGAAACCGAACACGUAGCUU